rnacentral:rRNA from 1 species
GACGAACGCUGGCGGCGUGCUUAACACAUGCAAGUCGAACGGAAAGGCCCUGCUUUUGUGGGGUGCUCGAGUGGCGAACGGGUGAGUAACACGUGAGUAACCUGCCCUUGGCUUUGGGAUAACUUCAGGAAACUGGGGCUAAUACCGGAUAGGAGCUCCUGCUGCAUGGUGGGGAUUGGAAAGUUUCGGCGGUUGGGGAUGGACUCGCGGCUUAUCAGCUUGUUGGUGGGGUAGUGGCUUACCAAGGCUUUGACGGGUAGCCGGCCUGAGAGGGUGACCGGCCACAUUGGGACUGAGAUACGGCCCAGACUCCUACGGGAGGCAGCAGUGGGGAAUAUUGCACAAUGGGCGGAAGCCUGAUGCAGCAACGCCGCGUGCGGGAUGACGGCCUUCGGGUUGUAAACCGCUUUCGCCUGUGACGAAGCGUGAGUGACGGUAAUGGGUAAAGAAGCACCGGCUAACUACGUG